UAGCCCCGCCCGUGGCCUCUCUGGGAGAGCGGAAUCUCUAGAGCCGAGAGCUCACACCUCUCCACUUUUGGAUCAAAGAAUAAAGCUUUCCUUUGCUUCUGAACCGAACUCUGUCUAUUGGCUUGAAUGACGCCAGCCAGAGGGACCCUUGCUGAGGACUGACUGGAAAGGGUCUGUUACCGCUGCUGCUAUGGAAUUAUGCGACGUGGCAGAGGAAGCAACGGCGAUGGGGCCGGCGACCAUCAGACCCGUCCACGGUGAGAUGAAGCGCUGACAAAGAAUCAGAAAGGGAAGCUCUGCACGUUAGAGGACCCCACAGCCUCUCAUCCCAAUACUUCAAACACGUUUGCAAUUUUAGUGUAAAAAAAGGAAACUGUCUCCUGGAACCUACCAUGUUCUUACCGUACAGUAACUGAGGCCCCCAGAGCUAGAAACUAAAUAUAAUAGCUGCCACAUUCCCAAGGAGGUGCUCAUUAACCACCUAGGCAGAACGUGCAAGGAAAGUGUCUGCAGACCAGUUUUGUGAUCCUUAACCCCUCACUCACUUUCAGGGGUUUAAGCUGAAGUGACCAGAGGUUGGACACUGGAGAUUUUCAACAAAGGAUUUAAAGUGCUGCUGUAUUUUCUGUCUCUCUGACAUGGAGCCAGAUUCAAGGGACUUCCAGGAGACCCUUGACUUGGAACCUAAAGAGCACAGAGACGGGUGUGUGACCCACGCUUGAAAGACUGACUGGAACUGGCUGCUAGGGGUGGUGGCUGUACCCAUAGCAAGUUUUUUGACUGCUGUUGACUGUGGAAUACAUGUUUCAUGAGGACCGUGUAAGAGGGAGGCUGUCUGAUGCCAAUUUAAAGGAACUUUGCACAAGGUAGCCAUCUGCACUGACAAUGAGACUUUAACAGAUGAUCUGCACGGAGAUGACCUAGGGAGGAGCUAGGGUUUAAGGAUUUGUAAGCGGCCAGCCCGAGAGGGUGUGGUCUGUAACAAGGGGCAGCACUGAGAGAUCCCCAGUAAGGGAGCGGGUCUCUGGAGCAGAGCUUAGGAAAGCACCCACAAAGCAUGGGUCUUAAACACUCCCAAGUCCUGAGAGAGCCAGCUCUCGACAGGUGCCAUCAAGAAAGACCUUUCCUGCCCCUUUACUUCUUGUCCUUCCCCUGACUCCAGUUCUGGAAGGUCAGAGACUGCAGCUCCGGGCAAGGGGUCUGCGGGAGGAGGAACUGGCAGAGGAAGGGAGCAGCCACGCACACCAUCUCUUCCCACUGCAGCUGUCAGCACAACGCAGGUGCCAGCUGAGGGAGGAGAGAAGCUUCACUGUUACAGACUCUGUGUUUGAAAAGAUAUUCCAUGUGAAGCCCUUUGCACAGUGACAGCACUCCAUAAAUGAUAAAUGCUCAGGAUUGAGAUUGCUGGAUCAUACGGUUACUACAAGAUAUUGAAUACAGUUCCCUCUGCUAUACAGGAGGUUAAUUUCACUGAUUGAAGGGACACCAACUGUUGGAUUUAGGGCUCUCCCUCAUCUUAACCGCAUCAGUAAAGACCCUGUUUUCAAAAUAAGACCUCAUUCUGGGGUCAGAAGAGACACAAAUUUUGGGGACACUACUGAACUCACAGCAGCAGGUGAGGUACUGGAAAUCGGAGGGAAGAGGAAUGCCCACCAAACUGAGAAGGCAUCCUGAGACUGAAAAAGGAGGCAGACAGCUCCACGUAAUCAAUGGAUUGGUUCAUUAUCAGACACAGAGAGAAGAUGCCGCCUGCAACCAGGAAGAGAGCCUCAGCAGAGCCUGACCGUCCUGACACCCUGACCGCAGAGUGCUGGCCUCCAGAACUGUAGGAAAGACAUUUCUGUCAUUCAGUCUGGUAUUUUUUCAUGGCAGCCCACACGGACUAAGCCAGGGCCCUUCUGUGUCUGGCUUCUCUCAUUGUGCACCGUGUUUCCAAGGUUCACCUACCGUGUAGCCUGCGUCAGUGCUUUAUUCCCUUUUAAGCCUAAUAUUCCAUUGUGUGGAUGGACCCCCUUCUGUUUUCCUUUCUCUUGGGGGUUCUACAUAGGAGUGGAAUUUCUGGGUCAUAUACUGACUCCUUGUUUGACAUUUUGAGGAACUGCCAGGCUGUUUUCCAAAACGGCGGCACCGUUUCACAUUUCCACCAGCAGUGUUGGAAGGUUCCAGGUUCUCCCCUUGUUGUCUGUCUUUCUGAUUCUGUGAAUGCUGUCAUGGCGGCUCUGUCAGCCCAUCAGACCCUCACCCCUUUUACAUCAAGUAUUUUGUAACAUUCCCCUCACUUUCUAAAAUCAAAUGCAGAAAUAAUAUAAUCUCUCUAUGCAUAUAAUUUAAAUAUAAUUAUAUGUGUGUGUGUUUAUGUACACAGUUAUAUUUACAAUAGUGCAGAGAAGUAAAGUAAAUGUUUUAAUACAUAAUUUAAUAGGUGAGUGCUUGGCUUCAACUACACUAAGUAAUCAGAUACUUGCUUCAAUUUUUCUUCAAUUUAGAUUUAAGAAAAGAGAGAUGACAUUCAACUUGAUUCAAUCUUUUAUAUUUAAUAUUUUAAAAUGAGUGUAAACAGACAUCUUUGUGUAUAAUUUGAGUUACUGUGGUGACAGCAAUGCCAGUGCAUUUACUGAAAAUUCAGAAACUCUGAGACACUGUACCAGGAGAUGCAGUUUUCCAAGAUGUUGGCGAAUUCUUGGUAAUGUUCUAAAUGACAAUGAGAAGGAGUUUCUCUAGAGUCACGUUGUCGUUUUAUAAUCAUGCAAAAUGUAGUGUAUCUUAAAGCCAUACAGAAAUAAAUUGUAAUGUAAUAACUUGUAAAUAACUUGUAAUGUGAAGUAGAACAGAAUCAAAUUCUCAGCUUAGAAAGUUACAGAUAGGUCCUUCGCAUGGGCAGGCACAGGGAAGCCCUUCCUGCAGGCUGCCUGGCAGCUCAGGGCACCUCCACGAUAUACUCGAGAACACUGAUCUUUGUGUUCACCACAGAUGCACAGUUCCAUAUGCUCCUGGGAGAACUGAGCCGAGACCAGAGGUUCCCAAGCCAGGACGUGUGCCCCUCAUCCAGGGAGCAGGAGAGUGCAUGGUUUGGAAGGAGUCACUUUCUGAAAAACUGUUUCCCCGGUUAUAAUCCUCAGACUGGUUUGAAUGAAGUUUUCCAUAUCGUUCUUCUAUUGAACAUUGAUUAAUUUUUUUGUCAACAGUAUAUCCUUUAUCAUGAUGGGGGUACACAUACUUCAAAACAUACCAAAUUGUACGCUUUACAUGUGUGUAUUUGCCCUAUGUCAAUUACACCUCGAUAAAGCUGUUAAAGUAACUCAGAGUUCUAGGUAGUAAUGCAUCAUUGCAUGUUCAGUGGCUUAAUGAGAAGCAGCGUUUUGAUCUCGUUUUUUGUGACUUAAAUAGGAACUGUGUUCACCUGGGCUCCAUCUCAUUCUGAUCUCGAUGGGGCUGCUUUUAGGGAUGCGUCCUAUAGUUUGUCUCUUGCUGGGUUUGUGUGCCUCCUCUCAGCACAAACACACACAUUUUUCUUGCAGUGAACAUUGAAAUGAGUUUUGGCUACAAGAGAAUCUACCCAGGCUGGUGGGCCAGUCAGGGAGGAAUGGACACACCAAUUAUCUUCCACAAGCAAAAUAAGCUAAAUACAUAGAUUUGAAGGAACUGCACUUCAAGAACAUCCUACAGUAAGAGCCCUUUAUGAAAAUAAAGUACCACAUGGGGAAAGGUGGAAUGAGAUGGACAGCGUUCCAAAGCACAGAGGAUUUUCAGGGCAGUGAAAAUACUCUGUAUGAUACUAUAAUGGUGGAUAUAUGACAUUAUGCAUUUGUCUAAAUUUAUAUGUAUUAACUUAAUUUACAUACACAUGCAUAUAAAAUAACCCAAUAAUCAAUAGCCAUACAUAUAUCCCAAUAAUACAUAGCCCAGCAGAAAAUUGGGCCAAGUCAUGAACACUGUUUCACAUGAGAGCAAACUGAAUGGGACGAUUGACAGGGGUGAGAUGGUUGGGGGUGGAAAUUAAGAUGACGUGAGAAAUUGUUCUGCGCCCUCUACAGCAAGACUAAAACACUGGACAGUAGACCACAUGUGGGCUCUAGAUCCACAAGAUACUUUGCAUUUUGCUGAUGGGAGUUCAGAAUGGUGCAACCCUUCAGGAAACUGUUUGGCGUGAACUCCUGGUCAAUCUUCCCUGAUACAAAUCCAAGAGUAUGGUGUGUUCACUGGAGUGUUUGCAGCAACCCCAUCCAGAGCAGCAUAGAUGUGGAAACACUUCCAAAGACACCCAGCAGGAGAGUGGAGGAGGGAAUGAGGCUGCACGGGGUUCCCGUCAUGAGGGGUCACCCAGCAAUCAGAGUGAACGAGCUGCAGACACCUCCCAACAUGGGCGAAGCUUAGAAAUACACCAUUAAGGGGAAAAGUAAGUCCCCAAAGAUUACAUACAGCGUAAAACUUUAAAAAAAGUUAUACAAAUUAAAAGGUAAAAUGUACACUCUUUUAGGAAUUGUAGUGGAUUUAAUGGUGACCCUGAGACAGACACGCCCACCUCCUAAUUCCUGGAAGCUGUGAAAGGGACCUUAUUUGGAAAUAGUGUCUUCGCAGAGGUCAUUGAGUGAAGGGUCUGAGAAAAGAUCAUCCUGGAUUACCUGGGUGGCCCUACACCAAUGACAGUGUCCUUAUAAGAGACACACAGGGGAAGGGACACGAAGAGAAGCCAUGAGACGGUGGAGCAGAGAUGGGGGUGAUAAGUCUACAAAGUGAGGAACAUCAGGGGUCUCCAGGAAGCACCAGAAGCUGGGACAGAGCCCUGGAUGGAUUCUCCCCUUAAGUGUCUGGAAGAACUGUCCCUGCCCACAUGUUGAUUUUGAACUUCUGGCUUCCACAAAUUAAGAGAAUAAAUUGCUACUGUUUUAAGGCA